GCUGUUUGUUUAUCGUCUUAUCACUUCUAUAUUUUCUAUACCGGUCAUAGCUUGAUGUAUGGUUGAAGAAGAUCCGGUGCUAUAGUUGAGUUGAUGAUGUUUUUCCUUUCGGUUCAUAUACGAUAUCCUUUGUCUGCUCGUUCAACUGUUCUUAUUUCAACGACUGUGAUUUCUUUGAUUAAUUAAUGAGGGUGGAGUAUCACAACAGUGGUGGUGUUGGUGGAAUUCUCACAAACCACCCACAGUUAUCGGAUCAAGUUACAACAUGUUCUACCAUUUCUCAUGCAAUGGAUCACUUGUUCCAACAAGAUUUUGACACCAUUCUCAUUGAAACUCAUAUUCAUAUUCGACACUAGGACCCUUAUAUCAUGACGCCAACAUUAAUUGGUGUAAGCACAUUCAAGUGGGUAACACCAAAAAUGCCUGCUCAAACUGAUAAUGAUAGUUGGAGUCUUCUGCAUGAAGUUUCUUGCUGCAUGAAGUGUUUUGUUAUGAAUUUCAAUGGGGCUUGUUGUUAUUGGACUAAACCAUUAGAUGAGAAUCUAUUCAAGAAUAUCAACAUGUUAUCAACAUGUUGUGCGAAAGGCUUCCAAACAAAGUGUUCCUCAUGAGCUCGAGGCUAAAGGCUUGAAAAGCGAGGAAGAGAUGAUAUAUUUCAAAACAACCUUUUAUAAUAGUGCCCUGUUACAAAACAUAAGCCUAAAACUUACCUGAUAUACUAAUUAUGACUAAAAUAGAAACAGAUGUCGUGAAGGUGGAAUGUGAUAUUCUUGACGUUGUCUUCUCUAUGAAUUAGUCAUGACAUCACAUUGUGUAUAUCAUCGUUAAGAUCGAUGAAUAAAUCGGUCAAGUAAAAUAUGUCGGAUUCGUCAAUUUCUGUCCAAUGUU